AACAAAUAUUAAAGGCAACGCCUGCCCAGUGAACAAUUAAACGGCCGCGGUACCCUAACCGUGCAAAGGUAGCAUAAUCAUUUGUCUAUUAACUGUAGACCUGUAUGAAAGGCAAAAUGAGGGUUCAACUGUCUCUUAUAAUAAAUCUAUUAAACUGAUCUACUAGUAAAAAAGCUAGAAUACCACCAUAAGACCAGAAGACCCUGUGAAGCUUAAACUAAAAUAUUAAACCCAAUAAUAACUACUUUCGGUUGGGGCGACCUUGGAAACAAAAAGAACUUCCAACACAUAUGAUACCACAUACAAACAAUAGGCCCACAAGCCAACAAAUGACCCAGCAAAGCUGAUAAUUGAACAAAGUUACUCCAGGGAUAACAGCGCCAUCUUCUUCAAGAGCCCAUAUCAAAAAGAAGGUUUACGACCUCGAUGUUGGAUCAGGACAUCCUAAUGGUGCAGCCGCUAUUAAGGGUUCGUUUGUUCAACGAUUAAUGUCCUACGUGAU
rnacentral:rRNA from 1 species